UUUUAGUUUCUGCAUUGCAGUAGUGGGUUGGGCGCUUUAUUGUUUCCGUGUAAUUUUCAUGUCCCCCGUAUGCUCCCCUUUUCUCUCCCUCAUCCCCCGUUUUCCUUACUAUCGUGGAGUCUGGCGCUGUAAGAGCGUUUUUCUCUUCGGCCCUGUGAUAAACCAUUUUCCUGCGUGGUAUUUGUUUUCAGUGUGUUUCUGACGCACGAUUACAGCGGUGGUGCUGGAUACCACGUAAUCAAACGUUUUCCGGUUCCGAUCCGAUAUUAACAGAAAUAGAACACUUUUUGCUUGAACGAAACUGGCAGCGCCCCGCGAUCUCAAAAAAAAGAACUUCUCACGGCAUCUCGAAGUCUGUUUGAGCAUGUUCCGACCUUCCAGAGCAGCGGGAAGAGAGCAACUGGGAAAAAAGGGGAAAAAAGUUUUGUGUUCUCGGGCGGGGAUUUUCUCAGGAGAAAAAACUAGGGUCGCUCACAGCGCAGGUGGACUGGGGAGAAACCCUGAACACAUUUCCUUAUCGUUCGUUUGAAAUGGAUUUCGUGUCUUUUCACCGGGUGGAAACCUAAAAGAGACGGCCGCGGCCACGCGAGUCAGGCGCUUUCUGCCAUCGCAGGUUCGGGGCGGGAUAACGAGAGUGCUCGGCGGGAGGCCGCUCCUGGGUCCCCGGGGCUGUGUGCGGCCAGGCUCAGUAGCGGGAGCAGCAGAGCAGGUGGCAGAGGGUUCCAUGGUGUAAUGAAUUUCUCACUCCGAAGUCUAAAUUGGACAAGGAAAGCCGCUGUUAGGCUAAGAUUUGAACCUUGACUCCAGGAAAUCUCGUCAUUUCAUUCCAAGCUCGGCCAGAAGAAGGAGGAAGGCCAAGGAUUCCGGUGUCCGAGGAGAGCAGGGAUCCCUGACCCACCUCCACCCAGGCCUUUGGGACAGUUGCAGAUCUUAAGUCAAGGCUAGACUAUAGUGAAUAUGCCUUGUUUGGUUAGAUUUGAGUUGGAAACCACAUUCAUUUUUUAUCAUUAUCAAAUUAAAUUAAUCUUUUAAAUGUCACUUCUAGACAUUGAAAACACAAUGUAACAAAUGAACCUGUGUAUGCCUUUUGUGGAACAAGCAUAUGGAUAAGAACGCUCCGAAAAGACCAUAAAACACAAUAAUUUAUAUAUACCCCAGGACUGUGACAAAAUUUUUAAAACUGCUUUUCUCAGUUGUGUUAUUAUUGGCAUUGUUAGUAUUUCUUUAUUCUUUUGUCUGUAUAAUGCGGGAGAAAACAAAGGAGACUGUAAAAGAUAUUGUAUUUCUAUUACGCCCAGUGUCCUUAAAAACAAAAAUACUGGUAUUAGAGAAAAGAGAUGCAGAUGUACGAUAGACAUUCAAUAAAAAGCCUGUAGUUCUGAA